UUAAGAGUUUGAAUGGCUGAAGAAAGUUUUAUUUUAGUUUAAAAUGAUUAAGUUAAGGUUCAUAUCUACAUGCAAAUGAUAGUGGGAAUAGAAUUUGUUUUUAGAGAGGAUAAAUUGGGGUUUAUUCGCAGUGAAUCAUAUUAAAUAUUUACGAAAGUAAGAUUUAGGGAAAUCUUAUAGUAUUGACUAAUUUUGUGCCAGCAGUUGCGGUUAUACAGAGAAUACAACUUAAUUAAGGUUAGAUCUAAAUAUAUUAGAAAUAGGGGAAAUUUAAAUUUAAAAUUUUUUGGGUGAAAUUUUUAAUUUUAAUAAGAUUUUAGGAAGUUAGUUAUUUGGGAAACUUUUUAAAAAAACUAGGAUUAGAUACCCUACUAUUUAAAGCUUAAAAAAAAAAUCUAGGUUAGUAACAGUUAUGUCCUAAAAAAUCAAAUAAUUUGGCGGUAUUUUAGUCCAUUCAGAGGAACCUGUCCUAUAAUCGAUAAUCCACGAUUAAUUCAAUUUUCUUUUAAUAGUUUAUAUAUCGUCGUAGUUUGAGUAUUUUUGUAGAAAUCAAUAUUCAAGAUUUAUUUUAUAAAAGAAUUCAGAUCAAGGUAUAGCUUAUAAGAAAGUAGAGGUGGGUUACAUUAAUUUUAAUUGAGGAAGAUUUUAUUUAAAAUUGGUUUGAAUUUGGAUUUGAAAGUAAUUUUUUUUAUUUAAUAAAAAUGAUUUUGGCUCUAAAAUAUGCACAUAUCGCCCGUCGCUUCCCCCCGAAGGUGGAAUAAGUCGUAACAUAGUGGUUUUACUGGAAAGUGAGGCUAGAGUGG
rnacentral:ncRNA from 1 species